CAGCACGGGAGCAAUCCUGGUGGCGAGUGGCGAACGGGUGAGUAAUAUAUCGGAACGUGCCCAGUCGUGGGGGAUAACGCAGCGAAAGCUGUGCUAAUACCGCAUACGAUCUCUGGAUGAAAGCGGGGGACUCGCAAGAGCCUCGCGCGAUUGGAGCGGCCGAUAUCAGAUUAGCUAGUUGGUGGGGUAAAGGCCCACCAAGGCGACGAUCUGUAGCUGGUCUGAGAGGACGACCAGCCACACUGGAACUGAGACACGGUCCAGACUCCUACGGGAGGCAGCAGUGGGGAAUUUUGGACAAUGGGCGCAAGCCUGAUCCAGCAAUGCCGCGUGCAGGAUGAAGGCCUUCGGGUUGUAAACUGCUUUUGUACGGAACGAAAAGGUCUGCCUUAAUACGGUGGGCCCAUGACGGUACCGUAAGAAUAAGCACCGGCUAACUACGUGCCAGCAGCCGCGGUAAUACGUAGGGUGCGAGCGUUAAUCGGAAUUACUGGGCGUAAAGCGUGCGCAGGCGGUUAUAUAAGACAGAUGUGAAAUCCCCGGGCUCAACCUGGGACCUGCAUUUGUGACUGUAUAGCUAGAGUACGGUAGAGGGGGAUGGAAUUCCGCGUGUAGCAGUGAAAUGCGUAGAUAUGCGGAGGAACACCGAUGGCGAAGGCAAUCCCCUGGACCUGUACUGACGCUCAUGCACGAGAGCGUGGGGAGCAAACAGGAUUAGAUACCCUGGUAGUCCACGCCCUAAACGAUGUCAACUGGUUGUUGGGUCUUCACUGACUCAGUAACGAAGCUAACGCGUG
rnacentral:rRNA from 1 species